rnacentral:rRNA from 1 species
GAUGAACGCUGGCGGCGUGCUUAACACAUGCAAGUCGAACGAAGCACUUUAUUUGCUUUCCUUCGGUACUGAUUAUUUUGUGACUGAGUGGCGGACGGGUGAGUAACGCGUGGGUAACCCGCCUUGUACAGGGGGAUAACAGUUGGAAACGGCUGCUAAUACUGCAUAAGCGCACGGCAUCGCAUGAUGCAGUGUGAAAGACUCCGCUGGUAUAAGAUGGACCCGCGUUGGAUUAGCUAGUUGGUGCGGUAACGGGCCACCAAGUCGACGAUCCAUAGCCGACCUGAGAGGGUGACCGGCCACAUUGGUACUGAGACACGGCCCGAACUCCUACGGGAGGCAGCAGUAGGGAAUAUUGCACAAUGGGCGACAGCCGUAUGCAGCGACGCCGCGUGAGCGAAGAAAUAUUUCGGUAUGUAAAGCUCCAUCGGCAGGGACGAUGAUGACGGUACCUGACUAAGAAGCACGGGCUAAAUACGUG